rnacentral:rRNA from 1 species
UACGGAGGGAGCUAGCGUUGUUCGGAAUUACUGGGCGUAAAGCGCACGUAGGCGGACUUUCAAGUCAGGGGUGAAAGCCCGGGGCUCAACCCCGGAAUUGCCCUUGAAACUGGAAGGCUAGAAUCACGGAGAGGUGGGUGGAAUUCCGAGUGUAGAGGUGAAAUUCGUAGAUAUUAGGAAGAACACCGGUGGCGAAGGCGGCCCACUGGAUCGGCACUGACGCUGAGGUGCGAAAGCGUGGGGAGCAAACAGG